rnacentral:rRNA from 1 species
GCAUAUGCCUACACCAUUAAUGUAGCAGAUCCCAUCAGAACUCCAUAGUUAAGCAUGCUUGGGCUAGAGUAGUAUUGGGAUGGGUGACCUCCCUUCAAUUCCUAGUGUUUUACAUGCC